GGAGGAUCAUAUGCUCGCUGUGAAGUGUGGCUUACAAACAAUGUGGCAUGUGCUUUCUGGAAAAGUCUGCAUGAUGCAUGGACAGCCUGGUCCGAGUGUGCAAAGCUGUGGCUUCCCCUCCUGUGGAUGCCUUCUGAACAGCAGAUCUGACUUCCUCCUCAAACCAAGGCAUCCUGAAAACAUCCAAGCAGAGGAAGCAUUUUUUCACCAUGACAUGGGAAAGGGCCAUAGAGAUCCAAAUGGAAACGGACAUUUCAUGUGAGUGACUAUUUCUACCCCAGCUUGGCUUCUUGCCUAAUUCAACAGACACUUAGGUGGCUGAAGAGGGAAAUUUUUGUUAA
rnacentral:lncRNA from 1 species